GAUAAGUUCUGUAUUAAAUGUGAGAUUAGCCCAAAAAAACGCAACUAAACCAGAGAGGCAGUGAAAAGAGAUCAAGUUUGUCUUUCGUGAGACUCAACACUUUUGGUUCGUUAAAAUGGUUUAUCAUCAUUAUUAUCAUCCUGAUCAUCUUCUCCAAUCUAUGAUUACCAAUGAGAAAUGAAGAUAAACGUAAAGAUUAAAGGAGGAGCCUUUAUUACCUGGACUCUAAGGACAGCAGUCCGUUUCAUGGCCAACAACAUCUUGCACUUACAGAUUGAAUGCAAGUCAGCAUACACUCAAAAUGACCUUAAAGUCAGUUCUAUCUCCAUCUUUAGUAUUUUCAUCAACAUCUUCUUCGCAGUUGUGGGUGAAAAAUUAAAUCUAAUCACUAAUUGUUACUUUUGAUUACAAUACCAAUGAGCAAAUUAUAAUUUUAACACUUAAUUGGAAGUUGUUACACUUGUAAACUUCACAACAAAAUUGCAAUCGUGUGAUUUUCAGGGGAAUGCGGUGCUGAAUCACUGAAAGUUUCCUUUCGAAAUCAAUCAUUCUCAUAACAUUCAAGUGCAUUUGGAAUAUUCUUGAUGUUUUUCCCUCAUUUGGGUUGAGUUUAUGUGUUAGAUUUGGUUUAAUUUUACUAAUUAAUCUGUUAACUGGAAUUAACCAUCAAAUGACGGAUCGCUGGAAGCUAAUUUUACUUCCACAAUGGAAUCAUUUCAUUUCAUUUGUCAUAAUUAACUCAACUUAAUGAAAUCAACUUGUUUCCACGUAAAAUGAUCAAACAAGAUUUUGAAAUCAAUUGAUGACAACUGUCUAAAAUGAGCUUACAUGAGCUGUACUAGGAACUAAACGAGAAACAGUCGACUAACUAGGAUUAACACACUCAAACACUCUUUUGGCCUGAUCUUGCGAGUUGUCACUACGCUCGAAAAUCACUCGAUACACUAGAGGGCGCUAGUAUCGCCUAUGUAAAAAAAGACAACAAUCCGCCUAAUUGCCCACAAUUAAGGCCAAUUGAGGAUUUUUGGGCAAAUUUGAAAUGCAAAGUGUACGCAGAUGGUUGGUUGCCUCGAAACAAGUUACAUCUUAUUCGUAGGAUCAAAGAUAAAUUGCGUACAUUCGAUCAAAUUUACUUCAACAAUUUAAUUGGAAACAUUAAAUCUAAAAUAAUCAAAGCAGAUCGAGACGGAAUCAACACUCUUAUUCAUUAAUAAAAGCAUGAUAAAUCCUAUUUUGGCAAUAAAAAAUCUCUAUCUUAAGUAGUUUUUGCUAGAGAAUCAUUCAAA